UGUAGAUCUAAAGAUAAAUACUCAGGGUAC
rnacentral:piRNA from 1 species